rnacentral:rRNA from 1 species
UGGGGAAUAUUGGGCAAUGGGCGCAAGCCUGACCCAGCAACGCCGCGUGAAGGAAGAAGGCUUUCGGGUUGUAAACUUCUUUUGUCAGGGAAGAUGAAGAGACGGUACCUGACGAAUAAGCCACGGCUAACUACGUGCCAGCAGCCGCGGUAAUACGUAGGUGGCAAGCGUUGUCCGGAUUUACUGGGUGUAAAGGGCGUGUAGGCGGGAGAGCAAGUCAGGCGUGAAAAGCUAUGGGCUUAACCCAUAGCCUGCGUUUGAAACUGUUUUUCUUGAGUACUGGAGAGGUUGACGGAAUUCCUUGUGUAGCGGUGAAAUGCGUAGAUAUAAGGAGGAACACCAGUGGCGAAGGCGGUCAACUGGACAGCAACUGACGCUGAGGCGCGAAAGCGUGGGGAGCAAACAGGAUUAGAUACCC